AUGGCUCAGGAUGAACGCUGGCGGCAGGCUUAAUACAUGCAAGUUGAACGGUAACAUGUUGUAGCAAUACGAUGAUGACGAGUGGCGCACGGGUGCGUAACACGUGUGUAACCUACCUUAUACAGGAACAUAACGUUGAGAAAUCGGCGCUAACAUUCCAUAAUAUUAUUUGUAGGCAUCUAUGAAUAAUUAAAACUCCGGUGGUAUAAGAUGGGCACGCGUUCCAUUAGCUAGUUGGUAAGGUAACGGCUUACCAAGGCAACGAUGGAUAGGGGUUCUGAGAGGAUAAUCCCCCACACUGGAACUGAGACACGGUCCAGACUCCUACGGGAGGCAGCAGUAAGGAAUAUUGGGCAAUGGAGGCAACUCUGACCCAGCCAUGCCGCCGUGCAGGAAGACGGCCCUAUGGGUUGUAAACUGCUUUUAAUAGGGAUUAAAGUCGACUACGUGUAGUUGUUUGCAAGUACCUAUAGAAUAAGCAUCGGCUAACUCCGUGCCAGCCGCAGC
rnacentral:rRNA from 1 species